UGCGCUAUCGCAAUCAGGGGUUAUCGAUGUCUGCCGAUAUUCAGGCGGACGAGUAUUCUCGCUAUAGAGUAGAGGGUGCGGCGGUCGCUGAAAUGAAAGGAAUCAUUGUUCGCCAUCAGGCCAAAUGAUUUUUACCGUUGCAUCAUGUCGCCCAAUAUGAUGCUUGCUCGUACCAGGCCCCUGCCAAUUCAACAGGGGCCUUUUUUU
rnacentral:ncRNA from 1 species